rnacentral:rRNA from 1 species
AGCGAACGCUGGCGGCAGGCCUAACACAUGCAAGUCGAGCGCCCAGCAAUGGGAACGGCAGACGGGAUAGUAACACGUGGGAACGUACCUUUCAGUUCGGAACAACCCAGGGAAACUUGGGCUAAUACCGAAUACGUCCGUAAGGAGAAAGAUUUAUCGUUGAAAGAUCGGCCCGCGUCUGAUUAGCUAGUUGGUGAGGUAAUGGCUCACCAAGGCGACGAUCAGUAGCUGGUCGAGAGGAUGAUCAGCAUCACUGGGACUGAGACACGGCCCAGACUCCUACGGGAGGCAGCAGUGGGGAAUAUUGGACAAUGGGCGCAAGCCUGAUCCAGCCAUGCCGCGUGGAUGAUGAAGGCCUUAGGGUUGUAAAGUCCUUUCGGCGGGGAAGAUAAUGACUGUACCGGGAGAAUAAGCCCCGGCUAACUUCGUGCC